GGCGCGGAAUCUUCCGCAAUGGACGCAAGUCUGACGGAGCAACGCCGCGUGAGUGAUGAAGGUUUUCGGAUCGUAAAGCUCUGUUGCCAGGGAAGAACGCUUGGGAGAGUAACUGCUCUCAAGGUGACGGUACCUGAAAAAAAAGCCCCGGCUAACUACGUGCCAGCAGCCGCGGUAAAUAAAAAGA
rnacentral:rRNA from 1 species